AACCCCCGCAGAGCCACCUGCUGCUGGGAGGCUACAAUGCUAUGUGGUGCCAGAAGUGAAGCCGUCUGAAAAAAAAAAAGGAGUGAGCUUUGGGCAUGCGUCUUGACUACUGCAUUUUGGUCACUCACUUUGUAUGUGAGAAACCAUGGAAUGGGAAUGGUAAAGCAGAUUAAUGGAGCUUUGAUAGCUUCAGAGUGCCCCUCCUCUGUGAGCACUUAAAGUCAAUAAAUCCGUUAUAAUUCCCAGUACAGAUAGCUGCCUACCUCUGCU